CAGAAAGAUGGGCUUUGAUUAGGAGAAAGGAAGGUGGCAGAACAAGCAUUCAAAGCCAGAAAACUCGUUCAGUAAACAUUUAAUACAAGAAACCACCUACCAUCUUGUUGAAGGUCUUAAAAAAUGUCUGCACAUUUUAUCUUGGUUUAAGAAGAAUUGAUGGGGAAGCAGACAUGGCUCAACUGAUAGAGCAUCUGCCUACCAUAUGGAAGUCCUGGGUUCGAUCCCCCAGGUCCUCCUGACCCGUGUGG
rnacentral:lncRNA from 1 species